UUUGGCGGUAUUUUAGUCUAUUUAGAGGAACCUGCUUCAUAAUCGAUAGUCCUCGUUUUAUCUUGCUUUAUUUUAUUUAGCAUGUAUACCGCCGUUAUAAGUUUAUUUUAUUAGAAUUUAUAAUUUACUUAAAAUAUGAAUUUAUUAUAUUUCAGGUCAAGGUGCAGCUUAUAAUAGAGUGUUUGUGGGUUACAAUAUUAUUUAUAUAAACGGAAUAUAAAUAUUAAAGAUUUAUUGAAGGUGGAUUUAAUAGUAAAAUUUUUUAUAGUGAUUAUUUGAUUUUAGCUCUAAAAUAAGCACACAUCGCCCGUCGCUCUA
rnacentral:rRNA from 1 species